rnacentral:rRNA from 1 species
UAGCUAGUUGGUGAGGUAAAGGCUUACCAAGGCGACGAUCUGUAGCGGGUCUGAGAGGAUGAUCCGCCACACUGGAACUGAGACACGGUCCAGACUCCUACGGGAGGCAGCAGUGGGGAAUUUUGGACAAUGGGGGCAACCCUGAUCCAGCCAUGCCGCGUGAGUGAAGAAGGCCUUCGGGUUGUAAAGCUCUUUCGGCCGGGAAGAAAUCGCAUGGGCCAAUACCCUGUGUGGAUGACAGUACCGGAAUAAGAAGCACCGGCUAACUACGUGCCAGCAGCCGCGGUAAUACGUAGGGUGCGAGCGUUAAUCGGAAUUACUGGGCGUAAAGCGUGCGCAGGCGGUUUUGUAAGACAGGCGUGAAAUCCCCGGGCUUAACCUGGGAACUGCGUUUGUGACUGCAAGGCUAGAGUACGGCAGAGGGGGGUGGAAUUCCACGUGUAGCAGUGAAAUGCGUAGAGAUGUGGAGGAACACCAAUGGCGAAGGCAGCCCCCUGGGUCGAUACUGACGCUCAUGCACGAAAGCGUGGGUAGCAAACAGGAUUAGAUACCCUGGUAGUCCACGCCCUAAACUAUGUCAACUAGGUGUUGGGUGGGUAAAACCAUUUAGUACCGUAGCUAACGCGUGAAGUUGACCGCCUGGGGAGUACGGCCGCAAGGUUAAAACUCAAAGGAAUUGACGGGGACCCGCACAAGCGGUGGAUGAUGUGGAUUAAUUCGAUGCAACGCGAAAAACCUUACCUACCCUUGACAUGCCAGGAACUUGCCAGAGAUGGCUUGGUGCCCGAAAGGGAGCCUGGACACAGGUGCUGCAUGGCUGUCGUCAGCUCGUGUCGUGAGAUGUUGGGUUAAGUCCCGCAACGAGCGCAACCCUUGUCGUUAAUUGCCAUCAUUUAGUUGGGCACUUUAACGAGACUGCCGGUGACAAACCGGAGGAAGGUGGGGAUGACGUCAAGUCCUCAUGGCCCUUAUGGGUAGGGCUUCACACGUCAUACAAUGGUCGGUACAAAGGGUUGCCAAGCCGCGAGGCGGAGCCAAUCCCAGAAAGCCGAUCGUAGUCCGGAUUGCAGGCUGCAACUCGCCUGCAUGAAGUCGGAAUCGCUAGUAAUCGUGGAUCAGCAUGUCACGGUGAAUACGUUCCCGGGUCUUGUACACACCGCCCGUCACACCAUGGGAGCGGGUUCCGCCAGAAGUAGGUAGCCUAACCGCAAGGGGGGCGCUUACCACGGCGGGGUUCGUGACUGGGGUGAAGUCGUAACAAGGUAGCCGUAGGGGAACCUGCGGCUG